GAUGAACGCUGGCGGCGUGCCUAAUACAUGCAAGUCGAGCGAACAGACGAGGAGCUUGCUCCUCUGACGUUAGCGGCGGACGGGUGAGUAACACGUGGAUAACAUACCUAUAAGACUGGGAUAACUUCGGGAAACCGGAGCUAAUACCGGAUAAUAUAUUGAACCGCAUGGUUCAAUAGUGAAAGACGGUUUUGCUGUCACUUAUAGAUGGACCCGUGGCGCAUCAGCUAGUUGGUAAGGUAACGGAUUAGCAAGGCAACGAUGCGUAGCCGCCCUGAGAGGGUGAUCGCCCACACUGGAACUGAGACACGUUCCACACUCCUGCGGGAGGCAGCAGUAGGGAAUCUUCCGCAAUGGGCGAAUGCUUGACGGAGCAACGCCGCGUGAGUGAUGAAGGUCUUCGGAUCGUAAAACUCUGUUAUUAGUGAAGAACAAAUGUGUAAGUAACUAGGCACGUCUUGACGGUACCUAAUCAGAAAGCCACGGCUAACUACGUG
rnacentral:rRNA from 1 species